rnacentral:rRNA from 1 species
AACCUGCCCCAUAGUCUGGGAUACCACUUGGAAAACAGGUGCUAAAUACCGGAUAAGAAAGCAGAUCGCAUGAUCAAGCUUUUUAAAAGGCGGCGUAAGCUGUCGCUAUGGGGAUGGGCCCCGCGGUGCAUUAGCUAGUUGGUAAAGGUAAAAGGGCUUACCAAGGCGAUGAUGCAUAGCCGAGUUGAGAGACUGAUCGGCCACAUUGGGACUGAGACACGGCCCAAACUCCUACGGGAGGCAGCAGUAGGGAAUCUUCCACAAUGGACGCAAGUCUGAUGGAGCAACGCCGCGUGAGUGAAGAAGGUUUUCGGAUCGUAAAGCUCUGUUGUUGGUGAAGAAGGAUAGAGGUAGUAACUGGCCUUUAUUUGACGGUAAUCAACCAGAAAGUCACGGGCUAACUACGUGCCAGCAGCCGCGGUAAAU